rnacentral:tRNA from 1 species
GGUAUGUAGCUCAAUGGUAGAGCACUUGCUUGGCAUGUGUGAUGCCCUGGGUUCAAUCCCCAGGACUGUAACA